rnacentral:rRNA from 1 species
CCAGCUCCAAUAGCGUAUAUUAAAGUUGUUGCAGUUAAAAAGCUCGUAGUUGAAUUUCUGGCUGGACUGGUACUCGGCUUCGGUCGAUAUUAGUCUCAGUCAUCCGUAUGAGAAGCCUUCUCGCUCUUCGCGGGGCGGUUGGUGUAUCAUACAUUUUACUUUGAAAAAAUUAGAGUGUUUCAGGCAGGCCAUUGCUGGGAUACACAAGCAUGGAAUAAUGGAAUAGGACUUUGACCUAUUUUAUUGGUAUAUUAGGUUAAAGUAAUGAUUAAUAGGGACAGUUGGGGGCAUUAGUAUUUAAUUGUCAGAGGUGAAAUUCUUGGAUUUAUUAAAGACUAACUUAUGCGAAAGCAUUUGCCAAGGAUGUUUUCA